rnacentral:rRNA from 1 species
UACGGGGGGGGCAAGCGUUGUUCGGAAUUACUGGGCGUAAAGGGCUCGUAGGUGGCCAACUAAGUCGGACGUGAAAUCCCUCGGCUUAACCUGGGAACUGCGUCGGAUACUGGAUGGCUUGAAUCCGGGAGAGGGAUGCGGAAUUCCAGGUGUAGCGGUGAAAUGCGUAGAUAUCUGGAGGAACACCGGUGGCGAAGGCGGCAUCCUGGACCGGCAUUGACGCUGAGGAGCGAAAGCCAGGGGAGCAAACGGG